UAACAUUUCAAUGAAACAGAGGUCCAGCAUUCCUGCAAACAUUCCAGGUGUACUUGCCAACUUUUCCAGCCCAGGCUGAUGCCUGAGUCAGCGUUGGUUUGCUCUGGGCACAGAGAUCCCUUCCAGCACAGAAAGGAAAGAAAAAUACACACACAAGAAGUUUUAAUGUGAAAGAAGACUGAAAUGAAAACAGAAAGAGGAAACUGUCAGAAAAUGGCAUUUAAUGGCCUGGAUCCCAUCAUUAGAAGAGUAUUGUGUUGGCAACUGAGGAAAACCAUCAAAGCACAGCUGUGAUGCUUAAAAGAGAAGAAAACCACCUGAAGAUGUAGGACGUUCAUGACCUAAUUUAUUCAUGGUCUGUGUCUCCUGACAAGCAACUGCAGGAUGUGAAAUCCUCAUCCUCAGCCCAGCCAGA